CCUACGGGAGGCAGCAGUGAGGAAUAUUGCGCAAUGGAGGAAACUCUGACGCAGCAACGCCGCGUGGGGGAUGAAGCUCUAUGGAGUGUAAACCCCUGUAAGCAGGGACGAAAAGUAUUUAUUCGAAAGGGUAGGUACGUGACGGUACCUGCAGAGUAAGCUCCGGCUAACUCCGUGCCAGCAGCCGCGGUAAUACGGGGGGAGCGAGCGUUGUCCGGAAUUACUGGGCGUAAAGGGCGUGUAGGCGGUCUGAUAAGUCAGAUGUGAAAGCCCCGGGCUUAACCUGGGAACUGCGUUUGAAACUGGAGAGCUGGAGUGUGGCAGAGGGAGGUGGAAUUCCACGUGUAGCAGUGAAAUGCGUAGAGAUGUGGAGGAACACCGAUGGCGAAGGCAGCCUCCUGGGCCAACACUGACGCUCAUGCACGAAAGCGUGGGGAGCAAACAGGAUUAGAUACCCUGGUAGUCCACGCCCUAAACGAUGUCAACUGGUUGUUGGGAAGGGAAACUUUCUUAGUAACGAAGCUAACGCGUGAAGUUGACCGCCUGGGGAGUACGGCCGCAAGGUUAAAACUCAAAGGAAUUGACGG
rnacentral:rRNA from 1 species